AUUCAGCCGACGAGGUCCAAAUAAGACGAAACGAGCGUCCUGGAU
rnacentral:hammerhead_ribozyme from 1 species